GCCUGGGUGGCUCAGUUGGUAGAGCAUGUGACUCUUGAUCUCAGGGUCAUGAGUUCAAGCCCCAUGAUGGGCA
rnacentral:tRNA from 1 species